CGGGGCGGGCUCGGCCCGGAAUGUAGAGACCCGGUCGGGAGCCUCCCGGCGGCGGCUGCCCGGCUGCCGAGCGCGGAGGCUCCGUCACGUGUUUUUCUCCUCCGAGUGAGACGGCGGCGCGGUCGGAGGGGGCCGGCGCGCAGAGCCAGACGCCGCCGCUUGUUUUGGUUGGGGCUCUCGGCAACUCUCCGAGGAGGAGGAGGAGGAGGGAGGAGGGGAGAAGUAACUGCAGCGGCAGCGCCUCCCGAGGAACAGGCGUCUUCCCCGAACCCUUCCCAAACCUCCCCCAUCGCCUCUCGCCCUUGUCUCCUCCCCUCCUCCCCAGCCGCCUGGAGCGAGGGGCAGGGAUGAGCCUGUCCCUCCGGCCGGUCCCCAGCUGCACUGGCUGCCCGGUAGCGUUUCGCAUGGAAAAGCCACUUUCUACGCCCGCCGAGAUGGGCCCGGAUCGGGGCUGGAGAGGACGCGCCCGCGGGCGGCGGCAGCAGCAGCAGCAACAGCAACAGCCGCAGCGCCGCGGUCUCUGCGAUUGAGCUGGUAUUUGGGCGGCUGGUGGCGGCUGGGACGGUUGGGGGGUGGGAGGAGGCGAAGGAGGAGGAGGGAGAACCCCGUGCAACGUUGGGACUUGGCAACCCGCCUCCCCCUGCCCAAGGAUAUUUAAUUUGCCUCGGGCAUCGCUACUUCCAGAAGGGAACUCAGGAGGGAAGGCGCGCGCGCGCGCGCGCUCCUGAAGGGGCACCGCAGGGACCCCCGACUGUCGCUUCCCUGCGCCAGACUCCAGCCGGGGCGACGAGAGAUGCAUCUUCGCUCCUUCCUGGUGGCGGCGGCGGCUGAGAGGAGACUUGGCUCUGGGAGGAUCGGGGCUGCCCUCACCCCGGACGCACUGCCUCCCCGCCGGGCGUGAAGCGCCCGAAAACUCCGGUCGGGUUCUCUCCUUGGCUUAGCAGCUGCGUCCUCCUUCAGCUGCCCCUCCCCGGCGCGGGGGGCGGCGUGGAUUUCGGAGUCGGGGUUUCUGCUGCCUCCAGCCCUGUUUGCAUGUGCGGGGCCGCGGCGAGGAGCCUCCGCCCCCCACCCGGUUGUUUUUCGGCGCCUCCCUCUGCUCAGCGGCGGUGGUGGCGGUGGCAGCAUGGCGAGCCCUCCGGAGAGCGAUGGCUUCUCGGACGUGCGCAAGGUGGGCUACCUGCGCAAACCCAAGAGCAUGCACAAACGCUUCUUCGUACUGCGCGCUGCCAGCGAGGCUGGGGGCCCGGCGCGCCUCGAGUACUACGAGAACGAGAAGAAGUGGCGGCACAAGUCGAGCGCCCCCAAACGCUCGAUCCCCCUUGAGAGCUGCUUCAACAUCAACAAGCGGGCUGACUCCAAGAACAAGCACCUGGUGGCUCUCUACACCCGAGACGAGCACUUUGCCAUCGCGGCGGACAGCGAGGCCGAGCAAGACAGCUGGUACCAGGCUCUCCUACAGCUGCACAACCGUGCUAAGGGCCACCACGACGGAGCUGCUGCCCUCGGUGCGGGAGGUGGUGGGGGCAGCUGCAGUGGCAGCUCCGGCCUUGGUGAGGCUGGGGAGGACUUGAGCUACGGUGACGUGCCCCCAGGACCCGCAUUCAAAGAGGUCUGGCAGGUGAUCCUGAAGCCCAAGGGCCUGGGUCAGACAAAGAACCUGAUUGGUAUCUACCGCCUCUGCCUGACCAGCAAGACCAUCAGCUUCGUGAAGCUGAACUCGGAGGCAGCCGCCGUGGUGCUGCAGCUGAUGAACAUCAGGCGCUGUGGCCACUCGGAGAACUUCUUCUUCAUCGAGGUGGGCCGUUCUGCCGUGACGGGUCCCGGGGAGUUCUGGAUGCAGGUGGAUGACUCCGUGGUGGCCCAGAACAUGCACGAGACCAUCCUGGAGGCCAUGCGGGCCAUGAGUGAUGAGUUCCGCCCUCGCAGCAAGAGCCAGUCCUCGUCCAACUGCUCUAACCCCAUCAGCGUCCCCCUGCGCCGGCACCAUCUCAACAAUCCCCCGCCCAGCCAGGUGGGGCUGACCCGCCGAUCGCGCACUGAGAGCAUCACCGCCACCUCCCCGGCCAGCAUGGUGGGCGGGAAGCCAGGCUCCUUCCGUGUCCGCGCCUCCAGUGACGGCGAAGGCACUAUGUCCCGCCCAGCCUCGGUAGACGGCAGCCCUGUGAGUCCCAGCACCAACAGAACCCACGCCCACCGGCAUCGGGGCAGCACCCGGCUGCACCCCCCGCUCAACCACAGCCGUUCCAUCCCCAUGCCGGCUUCCCGCUGCUCGCCUUCGGCCACCAGCCCGGUCAGUCUGUCGUCCAGUAGCACCAGUGGCCAUGGCUCCACCUCGGAUUGUCUCUUCCCACGGCGAUCUAGUGCUUCGGUGUCUGGUUCCCCCAGCGAUGGCGGUUUCAUCUCCUCAGAUGAGUAUGGCUCCAGUCCCUGUGAUUUUCGGAGUUCCUUCCGCAGCGUCACUCCGGAUUCCCUGGGCCACACCCCACCAGCCCGCGGUGAGGAGGAGCUAAGCAACUAUAUCUGCAUGGGUGGCAAGGGGCCCUCCACCCUGACCGCCCCCAACGGUCAAUACGUUUUGUCUCGGGGUGGCAAUGGCCACCGCUACACCCCAGGAACAGGCUUGGGCACGAGUCCAGCCUUGGCUGGGGAUGAAGCAGCCAGUGCUGCAGAUCUGGAUAAUCGGUUCCGAAAGAGAACUCACUCGGCAGGCACAUCCCCUACCAUUACCCACCAGAAGACCCCGUCCCAGUCCUCAGUGGCUUCCAUUGAGGAGUAUACAGAGAUGAUGCCUGCCUACCCACCAGGAGGUGGCAGUGGAGGCCGACUGCCGGGACACAGGCACUCCGCCUUCGUGCCCACCCACUCCUACCCAGAGGAGGGUCUGGAAAUGCACCCCUUGGAGCGUCGGGGGGGCCACCACCGCCCAGACAGCUCCACCCUCCACACUGAUGAUGGCUACAUGCCCAUGUCCCCAGGGGUGGCCCCAGUGCCCAGCAGCCGAAAGGGCAGUGGAGACUAUAUGCCCAUGAGUCCCAAGAGCGUGUCUGCCCCACAGCAGAUCAUCAAUCCCAUCAGACGCCAUCCCCAGAGAGUGGACCCCAAUGGCUACAUGAUGAUGUCCCCCAGCGGUGGCUGCUCUCCUGACAUUGGAGGUGGCCCCAGCAGCAGCAGCAGCAGCAGCAAUGCUGUCCCUUCCGGGAGCAGCUAUGGAAAGCUGUGGACAAACGGGGUAGGGGGCCACCACUCUCAUGUCUUGCCUCACCCCAAACCCCCAGUGGAGAGCAGCAGUGGUAAGCUCUUACCUUGUACAGGUGACUACAUGAACAUGUCACCAGUGGGGGACUCCAACACCAGCAGCCCCUCCGACUGCUACUACGGCCCUGAGAACCCCCAGCACAAGCCAGUCCUCUCCUACUACUCAUUGCCAAGAUCCUUUAAGCACACCCAGCACCCUGGGGAGCCGGAGGAGGGUGCCCGGCAUCAGCACCUCCGCCUUUCCACUAGCUCUGGUCGCCUUCUCUAUGCUGCAACAGUGGAUGAUUCUUCCUCCUCCACCAGCAGUGACAGCCUGGGUGGGGGAUACUGCGGGGCUAGGCUGGAGCCCAGCCUUCCACAUCCCCACCAUCAGGUUCUGCAGCCCCAUCUGCCUCGAAAGGUGGACACAGCUGCUCAGACCAAUAGCCGCCUGGCCCGGCCCACGUUGCUGUCCCUGGGGGAUCCCAAGGCCAGCACCUUACCUCGGGCCCGAGAGCAGCAGCAGCAGCAGCAGCAGCAGCCCCUGCUGCACCCUCCAGAGCCCAAAAGCCCAGGGGAAUAUGUCAAUAUUGAAUUUGGGAGUGAUCAGCCUGGCUACUUGUCUGGCCCGGUGGCUUCCCGCAGCUCACCUUCUGUCAGGUGUCCAUCCCAGCUCCAGCCAGCUCCCAGAGAGGAAGAGACUGGCACUGAGGAGUACAUGAAGAUGGACCUGGGGCCGGGCUGGAGGGCAGCCUGGCAGGAGAGCACUGGGGUCGAGAUGGGCAGACUGGGCCCCGCACCUCCUGGGGCUGCUAGCAUUUGCAGGCCUACCCGGGCAGUGCCCAGCAGCCGGGGUGACUACAUGACCAUGCAGAUGAGUUGUCCCCGUCAGAGCUACGUGGACACCUCGCCAGCUGCCCCUGUAAGCUAUGCUGACAUGCGGACAGGCAUUGCUGCAGAGGAGGUGAGCCUGCCGAGGGCCACCAUGGCUGCUGCCUCCUCAUCCUCAGCAGCCUCUGCUUCCCCGACUGGGCCUCAAGGGGCAGCAGAGCUGGCUGCCCACUCGUCCCUGCUGGGGGGCCCACAAGGACCUGGGGGCAUGAGCGCCUUCACCCGGGUGAACCUCAGUCCUAACCGCAACCAGAGUGCCAAAGUGAUCCGUGCAGACCCACAAGGGUGCCGGCGGAGGCAUAGCUCCGAGACCUUCUCCUCAACACCCAGUGCCACUCGGGUGGGCAACACAGUGCCCUUUGGAGCAGGGGCAGCAGUAGGGGGCGGUGGCGGUAGCAGCAGCAGCAGCGAGGAUGUGAAACGCCACAGCUCUGCUUCCUUUGAGAAUGUGUGGCUGAGGCCUGGGGAGCUUGGGGGAGCCCCCAAGGAGCCAGCCCAACUGUGUGGGGCUGCUGGGGGUUUGGAGAAUGGUCUUAACUACAUAGACCUGGAUUUGGUCAAGGACUUCAAACAGCGCCCUCAGGAGUGCACCCCUGAACCGCAGCCUCCCCCACCCCCACCCCCUCAUCAACCCCUGGGCAGCGGUGAGAGCAGCUCCACCCGCCGCUCAAGUGAGGAUUUAAGCGCCUAUGCCAGCAUCAGUUUCCAGAAGCAGCCAGAGGACCGUCAGUAGCUCAACUGGACAUCACAGCAGAAUUUCGCAGUACUUGUGACCCACUCUCUGCAGAGAGUAAAUUGAGAGCCCAAGAAGCAGGGCAAAAAGAACCUCUCAGACUCGGUCAUAGCAGCCCUGCCACCUUUACCCGGCAUCAAAUUUGUCUUUUAGUUUUGAAACUGCAGCUGACAAAGACACAGACCCCAACCAUGCCUUUUGGGUUCAGUUUUUUUGUUUUUGUCAUUCUUUGUUAUGCCUUCCCCCUUUAAAAGAAAAAAAAAAGAAAGAAAAAAAACAAACAGAAAAAGACUCUUUCCAUUUCUUUUUCAUUCUGCUUCCUUUUUUGUGAUGUCAAGGAUUCCGUACCUCCAAGGUUGCCUCCCAUCCCUCCCCUUUCCCCAGCCGUGUGGCCUUUUUGGCUGGCGCAAACCCUCUCGGCCCUGGCACUUUCCCUUUUCCGGGUCACCUCCGCUUCCUGCAUUCCUUCUCCUCCCUCCUCCGAGCCCCCUUUCGCCCGGGGUGGGGGAAUCUGCAGCCAGACCGCCCUCGGGUCUCCCGCCCCCGCCCGUCUCGGGUCAUCCCGGGCGGCGGGGCCCCUUCCCGGACCGCGUGGUCGGCGCUGGCGGGCUAGGCCCCGCCCUCGGGCACAGCCGCGCGGCUCCGGGUCCCGGGCGGGCGGGGCGGCUGGGCGCUGAUUGGCCCCCACCACAGCCAAUCAGCAUGUGAAACGGCUGAGCCGCGGCGGGCGCGGGGCGGGGCUCUCCGCGGGUCCCCUGGCGGUGGUGGCGGGCGGGCGUCCCUGGGCCGCUUUCUGCCACCCCGUCUGGCACCUCUUUCCCGCGGGUGCCCGCAGGCUGAGCCACAGGCCCCCUCCGCACCGCACCCGCCGACUGAGGACGUUGUGCCCUCAGCCGUAUUCUUGCAUUUGGAUCAGAAUCCUAAGAAUGAAAAAGUCCAACCAGCCCACGGACGGGGGCCGGAAACACACACUUCCUCUUAUUUUUAAUUGAGAAAAAUCCAGGCCGUAACCAUGUGACGAGCCCCAUUUUGUUUCCCUCCUCUCUUUACUACGGUUUACUACGAGGCCACGUUCCUUCGUCUUCCCGUCUCGAGAUCCGCGAGCAGGAGGGAGUCCCGCACGUGGCUGCGGGCCUGCGGGCCGGGUGGGGUUGGCCCGCGAUUCCUGCCCACCCCGCGGCAACCCAGGGAGGGAGAGAGACCUGCGAGUGCUGCGGCUGCCGUCGUUUUGGGUCAUGGGGGGAGGGGGAAUUCUUUGGCUUGAAAGUGCCCUAGGCUCCAUACACUUUACUGCAAAGCACCUGAGCUAGAAUGAAGACCUAAAUGACCUCAGCAAAUCCUCCUCUAACUCAUGGGUACCCAGACUCUAAAUAUUUCAUGAUUCACAACUAGGACCUCAUAUCUUCCUCAUCAGUAGAUGGUACGAUGCAUCCAUUUCAGUUUGUUUACUUUAUCCAAUCCUCAGGAUUUCAUUGACUGAACUGCACAUUCUAUAUUGUGCCAAGCGAAAAAAAAAAAAUGCACUGUGACACCAGAAUAAUGAGUCUGCAUAAACUUCAUCUUCAACCUUAAGGACUUAGCUGGCCACAGUGAGCUGAUGUGCCCAUCACCAUGUCAUGAGAGAAUGGGUUUACUCUCAAUGCAUUUACAAAAUACAUUUCAUCUGCUGCUGAAACUAUGUACGACAAAGCAUCAUUGUAAAUUAUUUCAUACAAAACUGUUCACGUUGGGUGGAGAAAGUAUUAAAUAUUUAACAUAGGUUUUGAUUUAUAUGUGUAAUUUUUUUAAUGAAAAUGUAACUUUUCUUACAGCACAUCUUUUUUUUGGAUGUGGGAUGAAGGUAUACAAUGUUCUGUUGUAAAGAGUGGAGCAAGUGCUUAAAACAAGGCUUAAAAGAGUAGAAUAGGGUAUGAUCCUUGUUUUAAGAUUGUAAUUCAGAAAACAUAAUAUAAGAAUCAUAGUGCCAUAGAUGGUUCUCAAUUGUAUAGUUAUAUUUGCUGAUACUAUCUCUUGUAAUAUAAACCUGAUGUUGAGCUGAGUUCCUUAUAAGAAUUAAUCUGAAUUUUGUAUUUUUUCCUGUAAGACAAUAGGCCAUGUUAAUUAAACUGAAGAAGGAUAUAUUUGACUGGGUGUUUUCAAGUGUCAGCUUAAAAUUGGUAAUUGAAUGGAAGCAAAAUUAUAAGAAGAGGAAAUCAAAGUCUUCCAUUGCAUAUAUUGUAAACAGAAGGAGAUGGGUGAUUCCUUCAAAUCAAAAGCUCUCUUUGGAAUGAACAAUGUGGGCGUUUGUAAAUUCUGGAAAUGUCUUUCUAUUCAUAAUAAACUAGAUACUGUUGAUCUUUU